rnacentral:tRNA from 2 species
CUUAGCUCAGUUGGAUAGAGCAACGGCCUUCUAAGCCGUAGGUCACAGGUUCGAGCCCUGUA